rnacentral:rRNA from 1 species
CGCAAGAGCAAGUGGACGAAGGCAUACACGAUGGCCGAGGACAAGCUCCUAUGUGAGUGUUGAAGGGACAUUGGGCAAGACCCCAAGGUCGGCGCCGAACAAAAGGCAUCAACCUUUUGGAUUCGUGUCCACUUUGAGUUCCAUGAGCGCAAGAUGUUUCCGCCGUACCAAAUGCGAAGCACGCACGGGUGGGUGUCCAUUUCGAAGCGAUGGAGGGUGAUCCAACAAGAGUGCAACAAGUUUUGUGCCACUCUUGAGAGCGUCAAGGCCCGCGCCGUGAGCGGCAUCGGCAUGCAAGACAUGGUAUGCAAGCAGCCCUCUUUUGUGUCAUUUCGUUUAUGCUUGCAUGUCCAUUUCCAUAUCCAUUUUGUCAAUAUGCUUGCAUGCAAUACAUUUGUAGGCAUUCAAAGCUUUGGAGGCAUUCAAGGUCCAACACGACGGCAAGUGCUUCAACCUCUCCCAUUGUUGGAGGGUCAUCAAAGACGAGGAGAAGUUCAAGGCGCAAUAUGCUGCCCUCAAGUCACGUGUGGGGAAGAGGGCCGUGGAGGAGGAAGACAAUGA